AGGUGGCCUGCAAAAUGAAGCCAGGGCUUCUGUUGUACAGCCUCCGCCGAGACCUGUGAGCUUCCAGGAUUCCGAGAUUGACGAGGACACCGAUUCGACAGGCACGAAUUCUUGGACUCCUUCCCUCUCGAGGCAAAAGUGGGCUGUGCUCCCAAAAGCUGCUGCAAAGAGGUCCAAGAAGGCUCCUUCAACAACUCCUCCCGAGGUCUCCAAGCGGCCUCUGAUUGUAAGGCCUAGAAAGGAACCUUCUGAACCACCUAAAGGACGAUCGUCUCCCCCGCUGGUUGACAACGGCGCAAGAAUGGUGCUGAGACCACAGUCACGAAAAAAUUAUUCAG